rnacentral:lncRNA from 1 species
AGAAAGGGUGUUCUACAACCAUUUAUUCAUGAUUAAUGAUGUGGCUUGUGAACUUGAACCAGAGACUGUUCACCAGAAGCUUUUAGUUUGAAAAAUUCCUGACUGUGGCCAAAACCAAUGCUAUGAAACAAAAGAAAUGAGACAGUGCCUGCCUGCAGCCCACUGACCUGCAGCCCCAGGCGGAGCUCAGGCCGAGACCCCGAGAAAAGGGAACAGCUGGGGCCUGCUGGGACAGCACACACGGCCUCUCACCAGCUCAUGCUGCACCCGAUCUGAGGCUACCCAGCAGCAGUUUGGCUGCCCCCCAACCAGAUUAUAAAUUCCUCAAGGGCAAAGAACACAUCCUUUAUAUUUUUCCUGUAUCCAUAUGGUGCAGAAAAAAAAAAUAAAAGAUUUUUGGGCUGGCAUCCCAGCCAGAAACUGAAGAAUGUUAUCCAUCCCCCACCCCCACAAGCCUCCUCCUCCCUUAAAAUCACAAGAGGAAGACAUUCAGGAAUAGCUUUUGAGAAAUGCCUCCCUCCUUCCGGCCUAAGAAGAUAUGUAAGUAGUUCAUGUUCUCCCACACUGGAAGGGGAGACUCAAGCCCGUUGAUGCAUUAAAUGAGACAUUCCUGAAUCAGAAGGAUCAUAGGUCAGCUCAAGCAUUCGGUUGUGUUUGCAGCUCAUUUCAGUAAGGCUGAUUAACAGAAGAGCCAGACCCUUGUUCUGGCACCAGCUGUGUGGCCGGAACCUCUGUGACUAGAGACACCCCAGCCGGAAUCAACAGGCCCGACCUGGACACGUGCAUCGCGGCAGCAAGGUCAAUUCACAAGCUCUUGUGCUUCAUUUGAGCCAGAAGACACCACUGAACAGAUCAUGGUUUCAGUACCUACACUGGCUGUUUUUCAUUCAAGGUGCAAGAGUGGUUCCAAAAGCUAUGCAAGGGAUUACUUUUUGCCAAACUAAUUAUCACAAUUAUUGAGAAAUAUGACAAAGACCUAAAAGUAUCAAACAUUGCCUACAUUUGAUAGGCUUUGAAUAAAAGAUAAGUUAAUUUCAACAGGCUGUGAUUAAAACUGUCCAUAAUAAUAAUAAUGAUAAAACAAUUGUCAUAUGUUGAGAUUAAUAAAUGUUACACAAAAUGUUUCAAAUGUAUUUUAUCUUCUACAGUCUAUAAGAUGGACACUAUAAUUUUCCCCAUUUUAUAUUUGAGGUUUAGGCCAUUGUUAAAGCUUUCCCAGAGUUAUAUAUCUGAUAUGGCAGAGCCAGGGCCUUCAGGAGAGACGCUGGAAUACCUUUGUUGAAAAUUAAGCUAGACUCUAGUAGUUCUCAGUUGAAUUAAUUGGGAACAAUUUACCAAGUAAUGAAUAAUUGGUACAAAACUGUAAGUAAUAAAAUGCUGAAUAGUGAAAAAGAGAUUCUGAAGUCCUAGAGAGAUCAGCAAAAAAGCAAAUCCAAAGCAGAAGGCUCGCAGUAGAAGGUGCAAUGUGAGCUGUGCUUUGAAACGGCUCUGAUGGUACAAAAAGAGGAACAAAGACAGAGACAGCAGGAUGGAAGGGAUUGGAAGGUUA